GUCGGGGAUAACGACUGCCUCCUGCUCUUGGAGGACAUUCCCGGCAUGGCGCGCGGCACGGUGGUGACCAGCAAUUGCGACG
rnacentral:ribozyme from 1 species